CUCUUUUUCAGGGCGUGCCAGACAGCGUGCGGAUGGCUGCCAGCAAUGUCCUGGUGGCUCUGGCCCGGACACACUUCACCUUGGUGAUGGCCGAGCUCCAGGGCCACCUGAAGGCUGCGGGGGAGAUGUCCAAGGAGUUUGUGCUCGUCACCCUGAGCAAGCUGUUCACCAGCUACGGUAGAGUGCCCUCAGCCUCCUGACGUCUAUGACAGCCGGAGAAAGGGCUCUCUCCCCUCUGCGCAUCAUCUGCGUUGAGCUGGGGGAUGCAGGGCUGCAGCCCCUCCUCCCUCGCCUCGCUGCUGGGGCUCUGACCAUGGCGCUCUCCUUCCCCUCUGCAGCUCCACAGUGCAUCUCCUUCAUGUGGCUGAUGCUGGCCGGCCUGCGCAGUGUGGUGGGCUGGGUGAGAGGCGGCCGGACCCUGCGCAUUGCUUGUGCUGUUGUGAAACAAUGGCUGGAAGGAGUCAAGGUUCACUUGGGCUCUGGAAAGCAAUGCCCCUGGCCUGCCAUAGAGAUCGAGAAGAUCUACAAGAAUCUUUCCCAGCUCUUCUGCUCUGUGCUGAGGAACUGGCAGGACUGCCAGGAGGAAGAGGACAAACAGGCUGUCCUCGGGGCUGUGGCUACCAUGAUGGCUGUCCUCCUGCAAGAGGAGCUGCCCCGAGAGCACGUUUGGGAGCAGCUCCUCUGGCUCGUGCGCCUGUAUCAGGAGGUCCAAGACACCUGCAGGGGGACCAAGGUGAGAUGUUGUGCAGGGCUCAGCAUGGACGUGGGGCUCGUGCAAGUGCCACGAGGGGUCAGUGGGACGCAGGGAGGAGGCCGGGAGCCCUUGAGAAAGAAGGAAUAGGUGUCCAAGGGAGGUCUGAGGCUUCCUGAGCUCUUCCGUCAAG
rnacentral:lncRNA from 1 species